CACGUAGGGCGCAAGCGUUGUCCGGAAUUAUUGGGCGUAAAGAGCUCGUAGGCGGUCUGUUACGUCUGCUGUGAAAACCCGGGGCUUAACCCUGGGCUUGCAGUGGAUACGGGCAGACUAGAGGUCGGUAGGGGAGUGUGGAAUUCCUGGUGGAGCGGUGAAAUGCGCAGAUAUCAGGAGGAACACCCGUAGCGAAGGCGGCACUCUGGGCCGAUACUGACACUGAGGAGCGAAAGCCAGGGGAGCAAACGGG
rnacentral:rRNA from 1 species